UACGUAGGUCCCGAGCGUUAUCCGGAUUUAUUGGGUGUAAAGGGUGCGUAGACGGGAUUACAAGUUGGUUGUGAAACCCCUCAGCUCAACUGAGGAACUGCAACCAAAACUAUAAUUCUUGAGUGCAGGAGAGGAAAGUGGAAUUCCUAGUGUAGCGGUGAAAUGCGUAGAUAUUAGGAAGAACACCGGUGGCGAAGGCGACUUUCUGGACUGUAACUGACGUUGAGGCACGAAAGUGUGGGGAGCAAACAGG
rnacentral:rRNA from 1 species